rnacentral:rRNA from 1 species
AAUCAACGCUGGCGGCGUGCCUAACACAUGCAAGUCGAACGCGAAAGGGACUUCGGUCCUGAGUAGAGUGGCGAACGGGUGAGUAACACGUGGGUGACCUACCUUCGAAUGGGGGAUAACGUCCCGAAAGGGACGCUAAUACCGCAUAACAUCCUGUCCUUGAACGGAUGGAGAUCAAAGCCGGGGAUCGCAAGACCUGGCGUUUGAAGAGGGGCCCGCGUCCGAUUAGCUAGUUGGUGAGGAACGGCUCACCAAGGCGACGAUCGGUAACCGGCCUGAGAGGGCGGACGGUCACACUGGGACUGAGACACGGCCCAGACUCCUACGGGAGGCAGCAGUGGGGAAUUGUUCACAAUGGGCGAAAGCCUGAUGGUGCGACGCCGCGUGAGGGACGAAGGCCUCGGUU